CCUACGGGAGACAGCAGUGAGGAAUAUUGGUCAAUGGUCGGGAGACUGAACCAGCCAAGUAGCGUGAAGGAUGACUGCCCUAAGUGUUGUAAACCUCUUUUAUCAAGGAAUAAAACCAGGCACGUGUGCCCUUUUGCAUGUACUUUAUGAAUAAGGAUCGGCUAACUCCGUGCCAGCAGCCGCGGUAAUACGGAGGAUCCGAGCGUUAUCCGGAUUUAUUGGGUUUAAAGGGUGCGUAGACGGGUUGUUAAGUCAGUUGUGAAAGUUUGCGGCUCAACCGUAAAAUUGCAAUUGAUACUGGCAGUCGUGAGUACAGUUGAGGUAGGCGGAAUGCGUGGUGUAGCGGUGAAAUGCAUCGAUAUCACGCAGAACCCCGAGUGCGAAGGCAGCUUACCGACGCCCCACUGACGCUGAGGCACGAAAGUGCGGGUAUCGAACAGGAUUAGAUACCCCAGUAGUC
rnacentral:rRNA from 1 species